rnacentral:rRNA from 1 species
GAUUAUUGGACAAUGGGCGAAAGCCUGAUCCAGCCACGCCGCGUGUGUGAAGGAGGUCUUCGGAUUGUAAAUCACUUUCAGUUGGGAGGAAGGGCAGUAAGCGAAUACCUUGCUGUUUUGACGUUAACGACAGAGUAAGCAUCGGCUACCUCUGUGCCCGCAGCCGCGGUAAGACAGAGGGUGCAAGCGUUAAUCGGAAUUCCUGGGCGUAAAGCGCGCGUAGGUGGUUCGUUAAGUUGGAUGUGAAAUCCCCGGGCUCAACCUGGGAACUGCAUCCAAAACUGGCGAGCUAUAGUAGGGCAGAGGGUGGUGGAAUUUCCUGUGUAGCGGUGAAAUGCGUAGAUAUAGGAAGGAACACCAGUGGCGAAGGCGACCACCUGGGCUCAUACUGACACUGAGGUGCGAAAGCGUGGGGAGCAAACA